rnacentral:rRNA from 1 species
GACGAACGCUGGCGGCGUGCUUAACACAUGCAAGUCGAACGGAAAGGCCCUGCUUUUGUGGGGUGCUCGAGUGGCGAACGGGUGAGUAACACGUGAGUAACCUGCCCUUGACUUUGGGAUAACUUCAGGAAACUGGGGCUAAUACCGGAUAGGAGCUCCUGCUGCAUGGUGGGGGUUGGAAAGUUUCGGCGGUUGGGGAUGGACUCGCGGCUUAUCAGCUUGUUGGUGGGGUAGUGGCUUACCAAGGCUUUGACGGGUAGCCGGCCUGAGAGGGUGACCGGCCACAUUGGGACUGAGAGACGGCGCAGAGUGCUACGGGGGGCAGCAGUGGGGAAUAUUGCACAGUGGGCGGAAGCCUGAUGCAGCAACGCCGCGUGCGGGAUGACGGCUUGUGGGGUGAAAACCGCUUUCGCCUGUGACGAAGCGGGAGUGACGGUAAUGGAUAAAGAAGCACCGGCUAACUACGUG